rnacentral:rRNA from 1 species
AACGAACGCUGGCGGCAGGCUUAACACAUGCAAGUCAAACGCCCCGCAAGGGGAGUGGCAGACGGGUGAGUAACGCGUGGGAACAUACCCUUUCCUGCGGAAUAGCUCCGGGAAACUGGAAUUAAUACCGCAUACGCCCUACGGGGGAAAGAUUUAUCGGGAAGGAUUGGCCCGCGUUGGAUUAGCUAGUUGGUGGGGUAAAGGCCUACCAAGGCGACGAUCCAUAGCUGGUCUGAGAGGAUGAUCAGCCACAUUGGGACUGAGACACGGCCCAAACUCCUACGGGAGGCAGCAGUGGGGAAUAUUGGACAAUGGGCGCAAGCCUGAUCCAGCCAUGCCGCGUGAGUGAUGAAGGCCUUAGGGUUGUAAAGCUCUUUCACCGAUGAAGAUAAUGACGGUAGUCGGAGAAGAAGCCCCCGGCUAACUUCGUGCCAGCAGCCGCGGUAAUACGAAGGGGGCUAGCGUUGUUCGGAAUUACUGGGCGUAAAGCGCACGUAGGCGGAUAUUAAGUCAGGGGUGAAAUCCCGCAGCUCAACUGCGGAACUGCCUUUGAUACUGGGUAUCUUGAGUAUGGAAGAGGUAAGUGGAAUUCCGAGUGUAGAGGUGAAAUUCGUAGAUAUUCGGAGGAACACCAGUGGCGAAGGCGGGCUUAACUGGUCCAUUACUGACGCUGAGGUGGC